GAGCUCACUCACUCUCACUGGCUGGCAGAUGGAUGGGUGUGCUUCCAAGCCAUGUGCCUUCAUUCAAGUUGGUCCCACUGUUCCAGGCUGCCUCCAAAAGGACAUCCUUAAAGAAGGAGCUUUUUUGAGAAGCUCAGAGUCUUACCAAAUCAUACAUCCAUUGACUCCAUUAAUUACUGACUUCUUUACAGCCUAGGAACGGAUGUGGGAAAGAAAAGAAAGACUGGAACAGUUGAGCAGAUACAGCAGAGAGUGAGAGAACAGCGUAUUGUGAACCCCCUGCAAAUAUCAGGAGAAAAGCAGGAGACAGCAGCUACCUCUCAGGCCAGACUGCAUGAGAGCAAGAACAAAGGAGUAAGAGGUGCCAACAGUGGGGACAAGGAAGGGGAGAGAUAGGAACCUGAUAUUCCUGCAAGCAAGCAAAAAAAAUCACUCUUAUAUUGCUUCCGUUCCUUAGAGACAGUAAUGAUGUUUUCAGAAUUAACAACUGUGCCAACUCUUAAAUUUUUUUAACAAUGCAUUGAAGAGAAUGGCUGAAUACCUGUGUGUCAAGGCCUU